rnacentral:rRNA from 1 species
CCGGUAAACGGCGGCCGUAACUAUAACGGUCCUAAGGUAGCGAAAUUCCUUGUCGGGUAAGUUCCGACCUGCACGAAUGGCGUAAUGAUGGCCAGGCUGUCUCCACCCGAGACUCAGUGAAAUUGAACUCGCUGUGAAGAUGCAGUGUACCCGCGGCAAGACGGAAAGACCCCGUGAACCUUUACUAUAGCUUGACACUGAACAUUGAGCCUUGAUGUGUAGGAUAGGUGGGAGGCUUAGAAGUGUGGACGCCAGUCUGCAUGGAGCCGACCUUGAAAUACCACCCUUUAAUGUUUGAUGUUCUAACGUUGACCCGUAAUCCGGGUUGCGGACAGUGUCUGGUGGGUAGUUUGACUGGGGCGGUCUCCUCCUAAAGAGUAACGGAGGAGCACGAAGGUUGGCUAAUCCUGGUCGGACAUCAGGAGGUUAGUGCAAUGGCAUAAGCCAGCUUGACUGCGAGCGUGACGGCGCGAGCAGGUGCGAAAGCAGGUCAUAGUGAUCCGGUGGUUCUGAAUGGAAGGGCCAUCGCUCAACGGAUAAAAGGUACUCCGGGGAUAACAGGCUGAUACCGCCCAAGAGUUCAUAUCGACGGCGGUGUUUGGCACCUCGAUGUCGGCUCAUCACAUCCUGGGGCUGAAGUAGGUCCCAAGGGUAUGGCUGUUCGCCAUUUAAAGUGGUACGCGAGCUGGGUUUAGAACGUCGUGAGACAGUUCGGUCCCUAUCUGCCGUGGGCGCUGGAGAACUGAGGGGGGCUGCUCCUAGUACGAGAGGACCGGAGUGGACGCAUCACUGGUGUUCGGGUUGUCAUGCCAAUGGCACUGCCCGGUAGCUAAAUGCGGAAGAGAUAAGUGCUGAAAGCAUCUAAGCACGAAACUUGCCCCGAGAUGAGUUCUCCCUG